AUUUCUCCCUUUUGGGACGGAAGUAUUUACCCAAUGCCUGUACCCCCAUGGCCACUUCCAGCAUCGAUGGUGUCAGGUCAGGUCCUCUGGGUAGAAGAAAUGGAGUCAGUUAGGAGUGCUGGAGACUGAGUAAGAGGUGGCAGCUGAGGCUUACUACCCCAGGAAAGGGAUGCCACCAGAGAAGGCAGACAACCAAGAUGGCGACUCUCAAUUUUUGAGCUCCUAAUUUUCUCAUGUCAGACAUAAGAAAAAAAAAAUAUUUUUUAAAGAAAAAGCUUUAGGUUGCAAAAAUCUAGGCCUUUCAACUUUAAAAUCCUAUUCUUGCAAGCCUUGGAGAAUAAAGCUUAUGCAUAAACAGUAGAUUUGGAAACAGA
rnacentral:lncRNA from 1 species